GCAGCAGAGGGUCUCAGGUGUUCUCUGACACACACUCGUGACCACCUGCCGGGCGCCCGGGGCUGCCAUGUCAGGCCGGGCAGUACAGCAGCUCAUUCUCAGGUGGAGAGGCAGUCAGCACAAGCUGCUAAACAAGGCGUCUAGAAUCCUGCCCUGCCCAUCCCUCGGGAUCACCAAGACAUCUGGACUUCCUGGGCCCACUGUGGUCUUCUUGUGUCCUUCAUGGUCAGGGAACAAGUGUCCAAGUCCAGCCAAGUGUCUCUGCAUGUUGGAAUCCAUGAGUUUUUACAGGUGACAGGCUCUGCCUCAGACUCCUUUUGGUGGAAGUGGAGGUAUGAACAGAUAGCCCACAUUAACAGGAGACUUCAGCAAGACCCUUGCCUUCUGAUUUUGCAUGGCAGCAUGGCGCUCAGCAUUUCCUCCUGCAGACACCCAUGCACUGUCUUAGAGGCCUUCCUCUGCAUGGCCUGCUCCUGGACGCUUUCUCCCAUUCCUUCCUAGCAUCUACUACCAACUGUGAUUUGUAAUUACUUGUAUGUUUAUUUGCUUGGUUCUGAAUCCUUUGAGUGUAGCUACAAAAGGAGAAAUGGCACCAUUCAUAGACCACGUCUUGACCUCCAAAGACUUUGCAGAGAGCCGACCUCGCCAAACCCAGGAUGAAAGUCCUUCAAAGAAACUCUCUGUCCGUUUAAUCAACUUCUCUGCUGCCCUCUCAGGGCCCUGAUGC